AUCCAUAUCUUCUAGGGAUCGUGUUAAAAUGCACAUUCUGAUUCAUGAGGUCUGGGGUCGGACCCAAGAUUGUGCAUUUCUAGCAAGCUACCAGGUGAUAUGGAU
rnacentral:pre_miRNA from 1 species